AUGGCGUCCAACCUCAGCAUGCACUUGAAGCACUGCUUCUCGCCGCCGUCCCUCCGGUCCUACUUCGCCGAGUUCAUCUCCACCUUCCUCUUCGUGUUCACCGCCGUCGGCUCCGCCAUCUCUGCCAGGAUGCUCACGCCCGACGUCACGUCCGACGCCUCGUCCCUGGUGGCCACCGCCGUCGCGCAGUCGUUCGGGCUCUUCGCCGCGGUGUUCAUCGCCGCCGACGUCUCCGGCGGCCACGUCAACCCGGUCGUGACGUUCGCCUUCGCCAUCGGCGGCCACAUCGGUGUCCCGACCGCCAUCUUCUACUGGACGUGCCAACUGCUCGGCUCCACGCUCGCCUGCCUCGUCCUCCACUUCCUCUCCGCCGGCCAGGCCGUGCCGACGACGAGGAUCGCGGUGGAGAUGACCGGGUUCGGCGCGUCGAUCAUGGAGGGGGUGAUGACGUUCUUGCUCGUGAAGGGGCUCGCAACGACGGCGCUGGGCGCGCUGGUGGUCGGGCUCGUGACGGGCGCCUGCGUGCUGGCGGCAAGCUCCCUCACGGGCGCGUCCAUGAACCCCGCGCGGUCGUUCGGGCUGGCAGUUGUCAGCGGCGACUUCAAGAACCAGGCCGUGUACUGGGCCGGCCCCAUGAUCGGCGCAGCCGUGGCGGCGCUGGUGCAUCAGAACCUGGUGUUCCCGUCCGCGCCGGAGCCGCUGCCGCACGAGUCGCGGCAUGGGAGCGUGGAAACAGUGGUGGUGUGA
rnacentral:rRNA from 1 species